UACAUGCAUUGAAGGCGGAAAUUGCACUGCAACUGAGAACAAACUCUUCAGAGGUUAGUACUUUCUGGAUAACUUUAAUUAAUUAUUAAUAUUAUUCGUUGGUGUAUGUUCUAAUACUUCUGGAUUUGAUAUUUCAGACUUUAGGUUGGAAUUCUUAAAUGCUUUGCCCAAAGGAAAUAAUCCUAAAUUAAGAGGAGCUUUCAUUGACGCACGCAAUCAUCAUACCCAAGUCCAAGGAUGGUGGUCUCCUAAAAAUGUCACCACCGUUAAAAAUUUGGUACGUAUGAGAUUAUAUAUUUAUUUAUUUAAGAGGCGAGCUUUGGCAUAACUGGUAAUAUUGCUGCCAUGUGAUCAAGAGGUCACGAGUUCGAGAUGUGAAAACAAUCUCUGGUAUAAAUGCAGGGUAAGGCUGCGUACAACUAACCCUUGUGGUUCGGCCCUUCCCCGGACCCCGCGCAUAGCGAGAGCUUCAUGUGACCAGGAGAUCACGAGUUCGAGUUGUGGAAACAAGCUCUUAUAGAAAUACAGGGUAUGGUUGCGUACAAAAGACCCUUUUGGUCGGGCCCUUUCCCGGACCCCGCGCAUAGCGAGAGCUUCAUGUGACUAGGAGGUCACGAAUUCGAACUGUGAAAAUAAUAUUUUACAGAAAUGCAGAUUACGCUGCAUACAAUAAACCCUUCUGGUCCGGCCCUUCCCCGGACCCCGCGCAUAGCGAGAGCUUCAUGUGAUCAGGAGGUCACGGAUUCGAACUGUGGAAACAACCUUUUGUAAAAAUGCAGGGUAACGCUGCAUACAAUAUACCCUUGUGGUCCGGCACUUUUCCGAACCCCGCGCAUAGCGAGAGCUUCAUGUGACAAGGAGGUCACGCGUUCGAGUUGUGGAAAUAGCCUCUUGCAGAAAUAUAGGGUAAGACUGCGUAUAAUAGACCCUUGUGGUCCGGCUUUUCCCCGUACCCCACGCAUAGCGAGAGCUUAGUGCACUUUUUAUUUAUUUAUUUAUUUGUGUUUGGGAUUGUAUACUUAUUAACUUAUGGUUAUUGCUUAGAAGAAAUUUCAGGAAAAUAGAAAAGGAAAAAAGUAGUUUUAUUAUGAUAUUAAAUGAAGUGUUUUAUAUAUGCAGAAUCUAAUGAAGGCAUUUGGUGAUUGGUACUAUGAUCGGAACUACACCUAUGUGAUAGAUGAGCGUGACUUGCCAAUCUCGGCUAUGAAUGAUGUUAAACCUUGCGACUCCAAGAAGUGACGAUGUGCAGUGUUUAAUUAAAAUCUAUAAUUAUGUCAAUGCAUGUAAUUUUAGUGACCUGAUGUAUGAGUUGAUUUGUUGCUAAUAUAAAUCAAUAAAGUGUUUAAUUGUGGUUUAAUUCAGUAAAGUUCAGAAAGAUGAAUGUGAGUUUUGUUUUUUUCUUUGUUGUCUCCAGUGAUAAUUAACAUGUCACAUAUCCCCCCGCUCAGUCGCGAUUUUUUGACCGUCCAAGCAGUGGCAGAAGCAAAUUUUUUACAAAGGAGAUCAAAAAAUAUAAAAAUUAAACAUAAAAAAAA
rnacentral:lncRNA from 1 species